rnacentral:misc_RNA from 1 species
GAAGUUUCUCAGAAUCCUUCAUGUACAAUGUUUAAUUUAUCAGAAAAAGUGAAAAAUUCUGCCCCAUAAAUAAUCCCCUUCUUUGCAUUUGAUCUCCUGUAGUAUCAUUUCCAGAAAAACUGUUGUUCAAGUCUACAAUAACAUGAUACAAAAAAGCUACUCAGAUCCGAUCACAUUCUCUCAAGAAAAGCUACUGUAAUGCAAAAGUUAGUUCAACCUUGUCACAGCUGGUCCAAUCUUUUUGUCUCCCUUGUCUUGGACCAAUUCCGUCAUGGUAAGCAACACAGAGUAUGAGCUCCCACCCGAUCAGCUAAAUUUACCAAGUUCCAUCUUUUUCUUGAUCGCCUUUUGACCGUGGUAUAUGAAUGAAUCAAGUAUCCCUGACACAGUGAAAACUCCUCCAACUAUAGCACAGACAUUCGUCAAGAAGUGUAAGAAUGACACGUGUUGCUCGGUGAAUGUUACCUUGAUUGGUGAAAGGUCAUAGAAGAAGAAAACACCAGGAAUAGACUGAAAACGACCAAAAUCUGCGCCUUUGAAAUGUUCGGUUACCGAGAACUGAUUUGUCUGGAUGGUAUGCCCACUGACAUCCGUAUAUACUGUAGGUACCACCUUGAUAAAAUACUGAUACAUGCCGUGGGGUGUUUCUUGAGUCCAUUUCACACCAUCAAGAGGAUUCAC